GUGUUCAGAAAAGCCAGGGGGUAAUGUCCUUAUCGCGAUAUAGUUGUCCAUCUAUGUAUAAUUUGUCCACUGUAAUGACUGCUUUUUCUUCCUUCAUUUAUUUUUCUGUUUUCGGAUUGGGAAGAGUUGUUUCCGGCGUUCGAGAAUGUCCCUAGGAUAUUGUUCAUUGAGUCCAUAGUUUGUGCCUUUGAGUUGUUUGCCUUGUCUCUGAACCAGUUCUUUAUGUUUAUAGUGUUCGAAUUUUGCGAUGAUUGCUCGUGGUCGGUUGUUGUUGUUUUUGGAUCUGAUACGGUGAACACGGUGAAAGGUGAUGUUCUGUACUGUUUCCGCUGGUAAUUUGAGUUGUUUUAUCAUGAAGUCCUUGACUGAUUUUUCGGGGUCGUCUGGAGUUUGUUCCGGGAUGCCUGUGAAAACUAAAUUGUCCCUCAUACUGCGCGAUUGUAAGUCCAACAUGUUUUCUUUCAUGGUUUUAUUUUCGGCGACAACGGAAGUGAGUUGAAUGGUCAGUGCAUGGACGGAGUCCUUUAAGAAGUUAUUUUCUUUAGUGAGAGUGUCUAUCUGUUCUUGGCUGAAUUCUAAGCUGUGCCGCAAUUCCUGAAAUUCCUUGUGUAUGACUUCUAUUAGCGCAAUCCUGGUAUCAAGUCCGGUAAGUUUAUUUUCGAUUGAGAGCAAGAUGUCGCUUACCUCAGUGCAGCACGGUGGUUUUGGUGAUGUGGAUGGUGUUGAGCUUGGGCUAAAAGGUGAAUCGGGACGAGGCCUCUUGGAGUUUGGAGUCGGGUUACCUUUACUUUUUUUGUUUUGAUCUGGUUUGUCCUUGUUCAUGGUGCUGCAGAAUGUGCUGUAGUGCGCGUCGAUAUAUUCUUCGAGAUGAUCCAGGUUUGAUAAUAUUAUAAUCCGGUUUUGAAAUGAGAAGAAAGAAAUAAUAAUAAUAAUAAUAAAACGAAAUGAGAGGAGGGGAAGAAAAAAAAAAAAAAGUAGGUAUUUUCAACUGGAGUUGUUUUUAAUCUAGCAGACGGGAGCCGCCAUCUUAGAUCUCGCACCGGGUCUCGUGAGAGCACAGUCUAGC
ensembl:lncRNA